ACUCCUACGGGAGGCAGCAGUGGGGAAUAUUGCACAAUGGGCGCAAGCCUGAUGCAGCCAUGCCGCGUGUGUGAAGAAGGCCUUCGGGUUGUAAAGCACUUUCAGCAGUGAGGAAGGCGGGUAUGUUAAUAGCAUAUUCGUUUGACGUUAGCUGCAGAAGAAGCACCGGCUAACUCCGUGCCAGCAGCCGCGGUAAUACGGAGGGUGCGAGCGUUAAUCGGAAUUACUGGGCGUAAAGCGCAUGCAGGUGGUUUGUUAAGUCAGAUGUGAAAGCCCGGGGCUCAACCUCGGAAUAGCAUUUGAAACUGGCAGACUAGAGUACUGUAGAGGGGUAGAAUUUCAGGUGUAGCGGUGAAAUGCGUAGAGAUCUGAAGGAAUACCGGUGGCGAACGGCGGCCCCCUGGACAGAUACUGACACUCAGAUGCGAAAGCGUGGGAGCAAACAGGAUUAGAUACCCCUGGUAGCGACUGA
rnacentral:rRNA from 1 species